rnacentral:rRNA from 1 species
CCUACGGGAGGCAGCAGUGGGGAAUAUUGCACAAUGGGGGAAACCCUGAUGCAGCGACGCCGCGUGGGUGAAGAAGCGCCUCGGCGCGUAAAGCCCUGUCAGCAGGGAAGAAAAUGACGGUACCUGAAGAAGAAGCCCCGGCUAACUACGUGCCAGCAGCCGCGGUAAUACGUAGGGGGCAAGCGUUAUCCGGAUUUACUGGGUGUAAAGGGGGCGCAGACGGCGAUGCAAGCCAGGAGUGAAAGCCCGGGGCCCAACCCCGGGACUGCUCUUGGAACUGCGUGGCUAGAGUGCAGGAGGGGCAGGCGGAAUGUCUGGUGUAGCGGUGAAAUGCGUAGAUAUCAGGAGGAACACCGGUGGCGAAGGCGGCCUGCUGGACUGCAACUGACGUUGAGGCCCGAAAGCGUGGGGAGCAAACAGGAUUAGAUACCCCAGUAGUC